AGCGAACGUUAGCGGCGCGCCUAACACAUGCAAGUCGCACGAGAAAGGGAGCAAUCCCCGGUACAGUGGCGCACGGGUGAGUAACACGUAGAUGACCUUCCCUGGAGUGGUGGAUAACCUGCCGAAAGGCGGGCUAAUACAGCAUGGGACCACAUGGUUUUGACCGAGUGGUGAAAGCGGGCCUCUGUUCACAAGCUCGCGCUCUGGGAUGGGUCUGCGUCCCAUCAGCUAGUUGGUGAGGUAAUGGCUCACCAAGGCAUCGACGGGUAGCUGGUCCGAGAGGAUGACCAGCCACACUGGAACUGAGACACGGUCCAGACUCCUACGGGAGGCAGCAGUGGGGAAUCUUGCGCAAUGGGCGAAAGCCUGACGCAGCGACGCCGCGUGGGUGAUGAAGGCC
rnacentral:rRNA from 1 species